rnacentral:rRNA from 1 species
UGGGGAAUAUUGCACAAUGGGGGAAACCCUGAUGCAGCGACGCCGCGUGAGCGAAGAAGGUUUUCGAAUCGUAAAGCUCUGUCCUAUGGGAAGAUAAUGACGGUACCAUAGGAGGAAGCCCCGGCUAACUACGUGCCAGCAGCCGCGGUAAUACGUAGGGGGCAAGCGUUGUCCGGAAUCACUGGGCGUAAAGGGUUCGCAGGCGGAAAUGCAAGUCAGUUGUGAAAGGCAGAGGCUCAACCUCUGUAAGCAAUUGAAACUGUAUUUCUUGAGAUGUGGAGAGGCAAGUGGAAUUCCUAGUGUAGAGGUGAAAUGCGUAGAUAUUAGGAAGAAUACCGGUGGCGAGGGCGACUUGCUGGACACAAACUGACGCUGAGGAACGAAAGCGUGGGUAGCAAACAGG